rnacentral:rRNA from 1 species
UACGGAGGGUGCGAGCGUUGUCCGGAAUCAUUGGGCGUAAAGGGCGCGUAGGUGGCGGGACAAGCGUGCGGUGAAAGCUCGGGGCUCAACCCCGAGUCGGCCGUGCGAACUGUCUUGCUUGAGCACUGUAGAGGCAGGCGGAAUUCCGGGUGUAGCGGUGGAAUGCGCAGAUAUCGGGAGGAACACCUAUGGCGAAGGCAGCUCGCUGGGACGUUACUGACGCUGAGACGCGAAAGCGUGGGGAGCAAACAGG